GUCUCAGUGGCGUAGUGGUUAACGCGUGGCCCCGGUUACGCGCGAGACGCUGGUUCGGAUCCCGCCUGAAAUG
rnacentral:tRNA from 1 species